rnacentral:rRNA from 1 species
AUUGAACGCUGGCGGCAUGCCUAACACAUGCAAGUCGAACGGCAGCACAGUAAAGACUUCGGUCUUUAUGGGUGGCGAGUGGCGGACGGGUGAGUAACACGUGGGUAACCUGCCUUAUAGAGGGGGAUAGCCUUCCGAAAGGAAGAUUAAUACCACAUAACAUCAAAUUCUCGCAUGAGAGUUUGAUUAAAGGAGCAAUCCGCUAUAAGAUGGACCCGCGGCGCAUUAGCUAGUUAGUGAGGUAACGGCUCACCAAGGCGACGAUGCGUAGCCGACCGGAGAGGGUGAUCGGCCACAUUGGGACUGAGACACGGCCCAGACUCCUACGGGAGGCAGCAGUGGGGAAUAUUGCACAAUGGGGGAAACCCUGAUGCAGCAACGCCGCGUGAGUGAUGAAGGCCUUCGGGUUGUAAAGCUCUGUCUUUGGGGACGAUAAUGACGGUACCCAAAGAGGAAGCCACGGCUAACUACGUGCCAGCCGCCGCAGUAA